rnacentral:rRNA from 1 species
CCUACGGGAGGCAGCAGUGGGGAAUAUUGCACAAUGGGGGAAACCCUGAUGCAGCGACGCCGCGUGAGUGAAGAAGUAUUUCGGUAUGUAAAGCUCUAUCAGCAGGGAAGAUAAUGACAGUACCUGACUAAGAAGCCCCGGCUAACUACGUGCCAGCAGCCGCGGUAAUACGUAGGGGGCAAGCGUUAUCCGGAUUUACUGGGUGUAAAGGGAGCGUAGACGGAAUGGCAAGUCUGAAGUGAAAUACCCGGGCUCAACCUGGGAACUGCUUUGGAAACUGUUGUUCUAGAGUGUUGGAGAGGUAAGUGGAAUUCCUGGUGUAGCGGUGAAAUGCGUAGAUAUCAGGAAGAACACCGGAGGCGAAGGCGGCUUACUGGACAAUAACUGACGUUGAGGCUCGAAAGCGUGGGGAUCAAACAGGAUU